rnacentral:rRNA from 1 species
UGCGUAGGCGGCCCGUUAAGUCGGGGGUGAAAUACUUCGGCUCAACCGGAGAAUUGCCUUCGAUACUGGCGGGCUGGAGGAAGGUAGGGGUCGCGGGAACUGCCAGUGGAGCGGUGAAAUGCGUUGAUAUUGGCAGGAACGCCGGUGGUGAAGACGCGCGGCUGGACCUUUUCUUGACGCUGAGGCACGAAAGCCAGGGGAGCAAACGG